CUGGGUUGCCACUACAUGCAGCUGGACAUCACUGGUAGAUUAUGGGACUAACAAGAAUUAUUUUAAUGAUCAAUAAUUCUCGAUUAGUGAGUUAAAAUUAUUUCAAUCCAUUGAAAGGAGUUUCAAUGAUAUUUUAAUGGAGAUCAAAAUAUUUCUCACUACUAGAUAGAAUAGAACCUAUGGGGUCAUACAUAAAGAGAUUUUGACUGAUUGGACUGUCGAAUCAUGAUUUCAAAUCACAAAUCACAAAUGAUCUCAAUUAUCAAUUUGAUUGAUGAUUGGACUUAAAUGUAAAAGUUACAUAAGGGCU
rnacentral:lncRNA from 1 species